CCACCAACAUGAGCCACUGAAUCAGCCACAAGCUUUCAGCACAAAGAGGGAUCAGGAGACAAGUGGCCACAUCUCUGCAUGUGAAGACAUCUAACAGUCUGUCUGUAGCCAUGGACAUCUCUGGUAGCCAGCUCUGGAGGGCAAACUGCCGCUGCCAAUGCCACCCACCAACCUCCCAGAAUUUUCAUUUUUGUUACCACUGGGAACAAAAAUCCAUUGUCAAUAUUGACCUUUGCAGUGGAGGACACCAUGCAUGCACAGUGUAACCCAGGGAGUAGAGAACACGGUAAGGUCAGGAGAAGAUGUUAUGGUGGGAUUUCACAGCUUCUGAUUCCUUUCAUGCAUCCAACAUCCUCAGGAGAACGCUGAAGCAGAUGAAAAUCCAAGUGAGCUCUGUGCAAAAGAAACUGUCUACAAAUAAUUGAAAGUGGAUUGUAACACAGUCUUGAAUUCCAAGUCUGUCUCCUUUUUAGAAGAGUCAGGAUUUAAUUAUACUUGUGGCAAAACUUUCCCACCAUUCUUGAGGUUACUGAGCAUGUGUUUAAAGCAGAAAUUCUGUAAACCAUUAAUGUUAAUAUGUCUUUAUACAUCUUGGAAAAAUUGAACUUCUGUUUGAAACUCAUGUGGCAUUUUUAAUCGUGCUAAAUGGAUGGCCAGUAAAUUGUAGGUCAGUCAAUGAUAUGGUGAUUCCCAGUAAAAUAAUGGGAAAUGUUUUUUUUUGUCAGAUUAGUGUGUCAUAGGGAGAUUUCCAUACAGCAUUUAACCUCCUAUUGUGUGACAUUUUGAUUUAACAGGUAAUGCUAUCCAAUCUCAAUACUGCAGGUACUAAGUGGAUUAAAAAGUAACCGAUAUGUUUUAUGGGUUAUUUCUGAAAGAGAAUGCUUAAUGGAAGAAGGUGUUUCUGAAACGUUCUGCAGCGAUGAGUUCCUGGCCCAGUGCUUUUAUUUUUUUUUUCUUUUUAAUAAAAUAGGAACUGGCUAAUAAAGCUUGCCA
rnacentral:lncRNA from 1 species